rnacentral:lncRNA from 1 species
CAGAACCCUAACUGUUCACCUGACAAGACCUCAGGCAAAGCCCUGGCUCCCUCGGAGGAUCGGGGCUUUCUUGUUUGUAAAACAGGACACGGACUUUAGGAGCUCAGACACGAAUGCAUGCAAAAGCCUUACAGAGGGUUCAGGAGAGGAGACAGGACUUGAGUGUCACUUCCCCUCCUGCUGUCUUGUGGCCCUGCCAUGCACUGUGGCAAGUCUUCUGUUAUCUUCUGCCUGAGAGGCCGUGACUAAGAAGGUUCCAGACUUCCCGUCUAUCAAAGGAUGGAGGGAGAAAGGGCUCCGAAGGAGAAGGAAGAAGAAUAAGGGCAUUGGCCUCAGUCCAGAUGAAAAGACCCAGAUGCAAAAUUAUUUGGGCCACAUAUGUGUUGUUUGCUUAUCAAAUUUUCAACCUUUGAAAAAUCACAAUAUUGGAUGGUGGGAAUCAGUAGCAUUGCUGGAGUUCCUGUGGGUGGCAGGAGUUGGACAUUGUGGCAGGUGACCCUGCAAAGGAUAAACACAGAACCUGCAGAGGGUAAAGGAUUUCCCAAGUCUCACUCCUGGAGGGAGGGGCACAGGCAUGAGCAGCCUAUCGGGCCCCAUGUCAUGCAGCUAUGUUCUCUGCUGCUGGUGAGCUUGGCAUCGAAAGAAAACAUAGCAGGAAUGAUUUUGUCUGGGUUGGGGAUUUGGGGGAGUUUAGACUAUAAAUAGUGAGGAGGAUAUAAAAAGCCUUAAGAGGAUUUUUGGAAGCCCUAAAUCCACCACAUAGACCAAAGCAAGUUAACAGGAACCACUUCGGUUUUAGUGAGGUCUAAAUGUGACUCAGCAUAGUGCCCUCCCCUCCACUGUUCCCUUCCAGCUGUCGUGGUUCACGUGUCCGCUGUCACCACAACCCUUGCCAGCAUCUGCCAAACCAAGGGCACGUGUGUCAGGAGGUCUGCUGCCAGCAUGCCAGCUGCCAGGUGCUGCCUAGCCUUGAAUUACGGCCUGGCUCACUCCCUAAGGGAAGGCAUCAUUGGCAGCCUCUUCUGCAGCAGAGAAAACGGAAGCAUAGGAGGCCCCAGCUCAGGAAGCCUGAAGCCCACCCCGGUCACCGAGGUGCUCAGAAUCGAUGGAGAUCCAGAGUUGAAACCUCCCUACGUUUGGUCCUGUGUCCCCAGGGUCUGCUGCCGGCUCCUAGAUACCUACAAACAGGUCUUUACUGUUGACUCUUUUAGGAACAUCACUGUGGCCUAAUAGUGAGGGAGUGACAUUUAGGAUGAUGGCCGACCAUCUCAUUUAUAGGAAAAACCCAGGGCUCUAACACAUAUUUUAAAAAUCACUGCACUGCUGGCACAGCCCUGCCACCCAGCAUUGUAUUAGCCAACUCCUUCCCAAGGCUCUGGGAGAGGCUGCAGUGGGAACAUUCCAGAUCAGAGGUUCUGCCUUGUUUAAAUAGGGGUGGAGCGAGAUUGCCAGGUCUGAGGCUUCAUCUUGCCAGUGAGAAAUGGGGGUGCAGGGAGCUGUUUUAGAUGGGGGUGCAGGGAACAGCUGCUGAGGCCUCACCGUGAGUCACACACAGGGCUGGCAGUGAGGCCACAAAUCACAGUUGGGCCCCCAAACAUAAGGUCCUACAGCCAGGGAGAGCCAUUCUGCCUGGAGACCGAGAAGAAUCCAGUCAGGAAGAAAUAGUGGAAGCUAAGGUGCCCGGGCCUGAAGGGCCAGUCCGUCUGGGAGCAGCAACUGGCCCUAUGGUGGGACAGGAAGAGCAAGAAAAACAGUGCCAGCUUGCUAAAGGCCGUGCCCCUGAGUUUGAUCUCCACCCUGCUGGCUGAGAAGACUCACUGAUGGUCUAAGUCGUCUCAUGGGAGUGCCUGGGAACCAAGACUCUGGAGACGGCAGGGAGGGUGAUGAGGGGCAGCGGCUGGAGCUAGAGAGACCACCUGGGAAGUGAACACCACAGACAGUGCGACAGGGCCCUCGGCUAGGGUGGGAAGCCUGGGGACGGGUGAGGGAACUGGUGAGAGGUGGGAGUCAGGCCGAGCCCACACUGGGUCAGGGCAUGAAGGCCACAGCAUGCCCUUGAGGCCAGGGUCUGGUCCGGGUGGGGGUGAGGAGGUUAGAACAGGCUGCUCUGGAUUUCAGAGGCCACAGAGAGUGGAGAUAUUGAGUAAGGAGGUGAAGAUGUGGGACCCAAGGUUCCCGGCCUCUUGAAGACAGCGUGGGGCUGCGGGUGCAGGUCAGAAGGCCUUGGAGGCCAGGUGGGUUGGAGCUGUGGGAGUGCCCCUCCUCCGCUUUCCACCCUUCUUGGGAUGGAGUCCAAAUUCUUGCCAAGGCUGAUGAAGCUGUCACAGCCUGGCCUCUGGCCGUGCCUCUCAUCCCCUCUCCCACUACCCUCCUGUCACUGCCAAUGCCCCUGCUGCCCUGCCUGCCCUCUAGCUCCUCCACCACACCAGGCUUCCUCCUGCACCAGGGCCUUUGCACGUGCUGAUCUCAAGUGGGCCCUCUGCCUGGAGCUGGGGGAGGGAGGCCUGCACCCAGGGGUGGGAGAAACUGUGCUCCUUCAUCCCUGAGUCACCAACUCCCUGCAUUGCAAAUCCUCAGUGUGAUCUCUGUUUUCUUGCUUAGUCCUGACUGAUGGUCCACCCGUCUGGCUAUCUCCUGUUUAUAUCUUCAAAUUCAGGUUAAAAGUCACUUCUUCCAGGAAGCCCUAACCAUCUCGUUCAAUGCUCUUCUCGUAUCUGACAGCCUCCACUGUGUGCUUGGGGGAGGGUAGAGAAAAAUCUUGGAUUUUUCUCUGCGUGAGGUUGGAAGCCAUGGAGGAAUUUAGAGCUGAGGAACGGCCUGAUCUGACUUCUAUUUUCACACAUCCUCUGUGUUGAGGAUUGAUGGCAGGAGGCAUGGCCAGAACAGGGAAGGCAUUUAGAAGGCUGUUGAGUUUCACCAGGUGACAGGUGGGGGUGGCUCGGCCCAGGGACGUAGCAGGGGGCGUGGUGAGAAGUGGCCGGACUCUGAACGGAUUUCAAAGUAGAAACAACCAGACUCAAUGACAGUCUAGACACGGGUGUGCUGGGGUGAAGGGAGGGGUUAACCAUGACCUCAGGCUUUAGCCUGAGCAGUGGAAAUGUGGAGUUGGCAUUUGCCGUAAUGGAGAAAGCUGGGGACAGGGCAGGGCGGCGGGGGCGUUUUGUGGUGGGGACGGGGAGGACCAGGAGCUCAGCUUGUAAAGUGCUUUAGACAUCCAAGGAGAGAAGCUGCCGGCCGCCUGGAGUUUAGGAGUCCAAGCCAGCGACGGGCUCCGAGAGUCACCCACACGUAACGUGCACCUAAAGUUAGAGAAUGACUGAGAGCGUCGCGGGAGUGAGGGUGGGUACAAAAAAGAAGCCACCCAAGAGUCGGGGCUCGGGGCACCCCGAUGCUAAGAAUGAACCAGCGAUGGAGACUGAGGAGAGGCGGCCACACAGGUGAGAGGAGAACUAGGAUAGCAGGGGCCGCUUGGCAGCCACAAGCGGAAUGUGCUUCCAGGACAAGGGGUGUCAGCCGUGUCAAAGGUGCAGGAAGGCCUCCAACAGGAGGUCAGAGAACGGCCCCCUGGAGUUAGCAGCGGACAGGCUGCGGGGGAUGGUGAUGACAGCGUGGGUGGGCUUGAGUGCAGGAGAGACUGAAAUAGUGGGUGGGGAGACUUGCUUGAGGAGUUUUGUGUUGCUAAAACGGGAAGAAUGGGAGAGUAGCUGGCGAGAGUCCUGUGGGUUUUUAAAGAUAGAUGGUAUAACCACAUGCUUGUACGUGCAUGGAGGUAACUCAGCAGGAGAAAGGGUGAUACUGUGAAGCGGCGGCUCUGGGGAGCUGGGGUAGCUUGGGAUCCAGCAGGUGAGGGAGGGGAGGUCCUCAGUGGGCCCCACCACCUGCGGCAGUGCUGUGAGGCAGAGCCCGGCGCAGGUGUGGGUGGAGGAGGAAGAUCUCUUCCGAGAAAGGAGGUAAGAAGGAAGCAAGGCUGUCAGCUGAGGGUGAGUAUGGAGGACGCCAGUUGGACAGGAGGGGUGGGCGUUUCGAGAGACUGCCAGAGGUGUGUAAUGAUGGCUGCCAGGCGACAGCAGCCGGGGUGGCUGUGUUUCUUCUCCACCUGCAUCCAGCCGAGUGGAGGGAGAGGGAGAGGACGGCAUGGAGAGGCCCGAGAGUGAAGAGCGGCGUCAUGUGACCUUUCCUGGAACCCCGGGGAAGUGAAGGCAGGAGGUCAGAGGUGAUGUGAAGGGGCGGCAGGGGCAGGAAGGCGUAAGAAGCCUUCUCAGAGCCGGGUGGGGGAGCUCUGGCACACGUGCAACUAAGGGGAAGGAUCUGGGGACAGGAAAAGAUUAGAGGGUUAGGAGUUUGGGGAACUGCCAGAGCAUGACCCUGCAGAGGGCAGGAUUCCCUGGGGACCAGGGCACCAAGGGAGGGGCAGCUUUGGAGAGGGACAGGGCAGGGGGUGCAGAAGCAAUGGUGUUUGUGCCUUCUGUGCUCUUGAGGAAAGAGAGCAGCUAAAGGGCGAGGACUUCAGCUGCAAUUCCUCAGCCCCACCCAGCCCGGCCACUUCGUGUACACCACAGCCCAGCAGGUCCCCCGCAAUGCCUAUUUUCCCAUGAUGUAUUUCUGCGCUCAGCUUCUCAAAACCAGACUUUUGUAGAGAGGGAUAACCUGCCAGCUCUUCUCCUCUGCUUGUCGCCGCGAGGACCCCACUCCCAUCCUGUCUUCUGCUCUGCUCUCUUUGCCGGGACUAGGGAGGGAGCCCCAGCUCCCAAUUCACUCUCACUCGGGAAGAACACUUAGGCCACAAACCCGAAACCCACCCUGGAGCCAAGGGGUGUCUUCACACAGGAAAAAGGCACACCCCACUGCUGGGCUUGUGGACAGUGCAACGCCAUCCUUGCGCUGCCGGGCGUGGGGACAGGGAAGGUGGGGAAAGUCAGAGUCACCGCUGCUUAGGCUGAUUUGUGUUGUAUUUAAUUUGUGGAACACAUUAAUUCUAAAUAAUACUUGAGCCUUCCUUCCCCUUCCCUCUUGUUCUUCCCCUCCUCCCUUCCCUUCCCCCCCUUUCCCUCCUUCCCUACCUCCCUUCCUUUCCACUUUUCGAUAAAUAUUUGCUUGGAGUCUGCUGUGUGCCUGAGAAAAUCUAUAUGAAGGUGAUCCAACAGAAACAGAGAGCAAGAGGUAGACCCCCAAGGAACUCGCCCAGCAGCCUCCACAGUGCCGCCCCUCGCUAACAGCAUCCUGGUUUUGCUCAAUCUGGGGCAGCAAUGUGCUCAGGGAGCGUUCCCCAGGAGAAGAGCAAAGACUGAUCGAAAGCAACCUGAGCCGCCCUGCUCACCUUGUCUACGAUUACCUGGCAGCAGAGGGUGGGCCUGUGACCCAGAUCUGGUAGGUGGGGCCUGAGAGGAAGUGGACUGGAGGGUUAGGUGCUUCCUCCCCAGGGAGAUGAAGACAUUCAAGAGAUGGAAAGUCGCUCCUGCGCUUCUUCCCUGGAGGCUGUCUUGAGAGGAUAUGAUCCUCCCAUCUGUGGCAGUCAUAUAAGAAUAGGAGAAAGGCAGGUAAAGUAUAGAAAAGCUACCUUGAGUCCCAGCAUCACUGAGCUGCUGAAUUAACAACCCUGGGUCCACUAAUACCAGUUUCUUGUUUGCAAAAUAAUGAAUUGUCCUUAUUGUCUGCACUCAUUUCAGUUGGGCACUCUCAUAUUUUGUAACCAAAGGCAUCUUACCUAUUGCAACAAAGAAGAAAUAAAGAACUACAAUUUUUCUAUCACAUGUGGCUCUGAGCCUCCUGGAUGCUGAGGUGAAAAGGGAAACGAGAUGAAUUGCCAAGCUCUCAUUCUUAGUCAGGAAGAGCUUCUCAGGGAGUUUCAGCUUUUUUGCCCCUAAAUUCCCUGUUUGACACUAAAUUUCCACAUGGGAGUUUAGGAAAGGAACACUGGGAUACAUAACUGCUAGACCCACGGUAAUCGUUUCACAGGAGAAGCAGUUUUCAAGGGCUCUUUCUUAAGAAAACUAGGAUCUAGAUAUAAAGAGAGUUUAAGC